ACCGGAUAGGACGAAAGUUUAAAGGUGCUUCGGCACCACUGAUGGAUGAGCCUGCGGCGCAUUAGCUAGUUGGUAGGGUAAAGGCCUACCAAGGCGACGAUGCGUAGCCGACCUGAGAGGGUGAACGGCCACACUGGGACUGAGACACGGCCCAGACUCCUACGGGAGGCAGCAGUAGGGAAUCUUCGGCAAUGGGCGAAAGCCUGACCGAGCAACGCCGCGUGAAUGAUGAAGGCCUUCGGGUUGUAAAAUUCUGUUAUAAGGGAAGAAUGGCUCUAGUAGGAAAUGGCUAGAGUGUGACGGUACCUUAUGAGAAAGCCACGGCUAACUACGUGCCAGCAGCCGCGGUAAUACGUAGGUGGCGAGCGUUAUCCGGAAUUAUUGGGCGUAAAGAGCGCGCAGGUGGUUGAUUAAGUCUGAUGUGAAAGCCCACGGCUUAACCGUGGAGGGUCAUUGGAAACUGGUCAACUUGAGUGCAGAAGAGGGAAGUGGAAUUCCAUGUGUAGCGGUGAAAUGCGUAGAGAUAUGGAGGAAUACCAGUGGCGAA
rnacentral:rRNA from 1 species